rnacentral:rRNA from 1 species
UACGGGGGGGGCGAGCGUUGUCCGGAUUUAUUGGGCGUAAAGAGCGUGUAGGCGGCCAGGUAGGUCUGCUGUGAAAACUCGAGGCUCAACCUCGAGACGUCGGCGGAAACCAUCUGGCUAGAGUCCGGAAGAGGAGAGUGGAAUUCCUGGUGUAGCGGUGAAAUGCGCAGAUAUCAGGAAGAACACCCGUGGCGAAGGCGGCUCUCUGGGCCGAUACUGACGCUGAGGAGCGAAAGCGUGGGGAGCGAACAGG